rnacentral:lncRNA from 1 species
ACUUCUAAGUUUUAAAACCCCGCUGCCCCUUACCUGUGCGGACUCUUUCUCCAGAUCCCCUCCCACGGCAACUUGGGAGAUGUCUCUCCCUCUUUACCUGUACAGAUGUUCCUCUCUGGAAUCCCCUCCCACAACAAGGUCAGACAGACCUGAAUUUGAUAGCAACAGAGCUUCAGCAAUAACAGCAGAUGCCAUCUUAGAUUAAUAUGGUGUCAGAAGUGGGAUCCAAAGUAGAGCUUCUAAUGAUCCCCAGGAAUGCUGAGUGACCAAAUGAGAUACCUGAUGGAGUCACUUGUGUCCACUUUCAGGACAGCUGAGGAUUUGUGGGUUGGCACUUUGACAUGUAUCAUGAAGGCCAUAAAAAUUGGUUCCCAAGAAAGAAACAGGAACAUCGUAGGGGGCAGAAGAAGAAAGAUGCUCAUUUUCCUGAGGAAGCAGGAUAGAAGACUCUCUUUACUUCACCUUGUAUGCAUAAAGAACAUAAAGGAAGAUGUGGCUAAACUGGUUAUCUUUUGGAGAUAGUUACUGAUAUCUGAGGACAUUGUUCAUAAUACUUGCCAGAGGUUGACUCUAGAGAUGGUGGUCAAGUGUUUCAGAAAAAG